GAUGAAGAACGUAGCGAAAUGCGAUAAGUAAUGCGAAUUGCAGAAUUUCCGUGAAUCAUCGAAUCUUUGAACGCACAUUGCGCCCUUUGGUAUUCCAAAGGGCAUGCCUGUUCGAGCGUCAUUUGUACCCUCAAGCUUUGCUUGGUGUUGGGCGUCUUGUCUCUAGCUUUGCUGGAGACUCGCCUUAAAGUAAUUGGCAGCCGGCCUACUGGUUUCGGAGCGCAGCACAAGUCGCACUCUCUAUCAGCAAAGGUCUAGCAUCCAUUAAGCCUUUUUUUCAACUUUUGACCUCGGAUCAGGUAGGGAUACCCGCUGAACUUAAGCAUAUCAAUAAGCGGAGGA
rnacentral:misc_RNA from 1 species